CCCUUCCAUUAGGUCAGCUAAAGGUCGUCACUAAAGGAUUUUCCUUAUAUCUUAUCGCGUACUUUCUUUGCUUAUUAUUAUAUUAUACAAGUUAUUCAUAUACUCAGCCGGUCUCGUGCAUUUCUUGUUACUAACUACACUAUUCAGUAUUGUUUAGAUGACAUUAUUUUAUAUGUUGUUUCUCCCCUCUGUUAAGAUAACACUAUUUCUGACACUGCGUACAAAUGGGCCUUAUUGGUUAAACGCAACUACAGCAUCAUAAGAGUUCUGGUUAUCACCUGGCCAAAUCUUCUUAAAUAAUUUUCUGCGUAUACGGUUAGUAUAUACCUUUUUGUUUGGAGGGGCAAUUUUCUACGGUUUCUCCCAGGGAUUAGGUUGUAACUUAAAUUUGUGUUUUAGGUUCAAGUAAGUAUUGUUCUUUCCACUUCAGUAUUUGUCAUGCAAGUCAAUCAUCAGGUACGUUAACCGGUCAAACCCAGGCAUGGUUAUGAGUAGGUUUAAGCUCUUGCCAAGUUAGGUAUGAUCCCAUAGGCCUCUUCGCCUAUUAGUCAAGUGGUCCCGCAAGGCAUUCUAUGGCCCUUCCAUUCAGAAGUUCAUGCCCAAUCGUCCCAAUGCAUAGUUAGAGCCUUGCAUCAAGUCAUAGUUAGAGCCUCACCAGUCACGGCCAAUCGAUAUUACAUUCUUUUACGUGUCACCGAGAGGCCAACACCCUGCCAUCCACCUCAGUGACACAAAGGCCCCACGAGCCAAAUCAUAGAUACUGCCUCUCAUAGCCACUUGGCAAGUAGUCAGGGCUUCACCUGUCACCAACAUAAGCUAGUUAAUACAAUUUCGCCAGUAGGCACUAGCCUAGUAAGCUGGGUCACUACUGUUCUAUAUGGUACCAUACUAACCUUGUCCAUCUGCCUCACUUCCGUAGCAUGUCUAACGCUUCUACACAAGGAGAUGAUCUGUCGGUUGCCAGCACCCCAUUCAGAUCAGGCUCGCAGAGACGACCCAAUCCACCAAGUCCAGCUUCCAGCUAUCGUUCCUGGACUAUCCCUAAAAUCACCUCAGAAUUUAAAAAGAGGAAUAUUCCUUUCCCGGCUACAGCCAAGAAAGCCAAACUGUUUAGGUUAUUAAAUAUUACUGAAGACAAUGAAAAGCCUGG